rnacentral:rRNA from 1 species
AGCAGCCGCGGUAAUUCCAGCUCCAAGAGCAUAUAUUAAAGUUGUUGCAGUUAAAAAGCUCGUAGUUGAAUUUCGGGAUCAAUUUAUUGGUCGUGCUAUUGUACGUACUGGUAUUAUUGAUUCCUACCUUCUGACGAACCAUGAUGUCAUUAAUUUGGUGUUAUGGGAAGUUAGGACUGUUACUUUGAAAAAAU